UACGGGGGGGGCAAGCGUUGUUCGGAAUUACUGGGCGUAAAGGGCUCGUAGGUGGCCAACUAAGUCAGACGUGAAAUCCCUCAGCUUAACUGGGGAACUGCGUCUGAUACUGGAUGGCUUGAGUUUGGGAGAGGGAUGCGGAAUUCCAGGUGUAGCGGUGAAAUGCGUAGAUAUCUGGAGGAACACCGGUGGCGAAGGCAGCAUCCUGGACCAACACUGGCACUGAGGAGCGAAAGCCAGGGGAGCAAACGGG
rnacentral:rRNA from 1 species